rnacentral:rRNA from 1 species
GGCUACACAUGCAAGUCGAGCGGCAGCGGGAAAGUAGCUUGCUACUUUUGCCGGCGAGCGGCGGACGGGUGAGUAAUGCCUGGGGAUCUGCCCAGUCGAGGGGGAUAACUACUGGAAACGAUAGCUAAUACCGCAUACGCCCUACGGGGGAAAGCAGGGGACCUUCGGGCCUUGCGCGAUUGGAUGAACCCAGGUGGGAUUAGCUAGUUGGUGAGGUAAUGGCUCACCAAGGCGACGAUCCCUAGCUGGUCUGAGAGGAUGAUCAGCCACACUGGAACUGAGACCCGGUCCUGACUCCUGCGGGAGGCAGCAGUGGGGAAUAUUGCACAAUGGGGGAAACCCUGAUGCAGCCAUGCCGCGUGUGUGAAGAAGGCCUUCGGGUUGUAAAGCACUUUCAGCGAG